rnacentral:lncRNA from 1 species
AUGGAUAUGGUACAUAAAAAAAUAACACCGUACGAAAAUAGCAAUGCUGAUUUUGGUCAAGAGCAAGAUAAUAUCAAUAUUAAUAAUUAUAAAAAUGAUUUUCAAUUGAAUAAGAAUAAUAAUAUAUGUGACAAAAACGUAAGACAUAAAAAUAAAAACACAAAUAAACUAAUGAAUAAUAUAACAACGAAUAAAAACUAUUUAUUAGAUAAUUAUUAUAACAUAGACUUAAUUACACUUGUUCUGUUUUUAGAUUAUUUAUGUUCUUAUAAUUUUUUAUUUUUAAAGAAAUAUGAAACAUUUAAUAAUUUGAUAAAAUUAUAUAUGGAUGUAUUAAGAGCUAGUAAUUUAAAAUGUAUUCAUUUUUUUUAUACAUAUAAAAUAAUUAGUAUUAAUAUAUAUGCAAAUAUUUAUAACAAUUUUAUUAACAAAUUAAUUUACUCUUCUCUUUUUUUUAAAUUAAAAAAUUUUAUUAUGUACAGUUCAGGUAAAAAAGGAAAUGCAAAUUUGUAUAUACACAAUACCUACUAUUAUAUGAUUAUAUUAUAUGAACAAUUAUUGAAAAAUAAAAUAUAUGACUACAGACUAAAUAGUGCUCUUUAUAAAUGUUUCGUUAAUUUUUUAACACACAAUAAUGGCAACAAUAAUGGAAACAACGAUGACAACAAUAAUAGCAAUAAUAAUAGCAAUAAUAAUAGCAAUAAUAAUGGCAAUAAUAAUGGCAAUAAUAAAAUGAAUGAUAUUAUUAUGCAUCCUAUACUAACUCGAUAUUUAAAGAUGGUUAGUUUGUUAGGGGGACAUAUUCACAUAAACGACUUAGGUAGUUGUUACAGUAACAAUAAUUGUUACUCUAGUGAUAUUAAUAAAAUAUUCACAACUAACUGCUCAAAAAAUUAUGUUACAAUCCCAACUUUAUCUCCGAUCGUUUUUUUUUUCCCUUUGUUUAACAAAUUUAACCAAAUAAAUUUUAAAUAUAUCGACAUUUUUUUUGUUUUAAAAAUUUACAAAUAUAUAAACAAAAUAAAAAUAUUAUUAAACAGUAAGUAUAAAGGUAAUAGACGUAGCGACAUUAGAUGGGGAAUUACCAUCACCACCAUCAACAACAACAACAACAACAAUAACAACAACAAUAAUAAUAAUAAUAAUAACAAUAACAAUAACAACAACAAUAAUAAUAAUAAUAACAAUAAUAACAACAAUAACAAUAACAACAACAAUAAUAAUAAUAACAACAACAAUAACAAUAAUAACAAUAAUAACAACAAUAACAAUAACAAUCACCCACCUGAUAAGAAAACCUUUUUAAAAAUGAUAAAUGAAAUAUAUGAUAAACUGCAGAACAAAAUAAAAGAAGAAAGUAAAAAUUUGAAUUUAUUAGACAUAAUGAACAUUUAUUUAAUUAGUAAUAAAGAAUCGAAAAAUAAAAUGUUUUAUUUAAAUAAUUUUUUAUUUGAUAUUUUAUUAUUGAACAGUAAUAAAAUUGAAAUGGCAGAUAGUAAACUGUUUAUAAAAUUUUAUAAAACAGUUUUAACAUAUAUGUACUUACACAAAAUGGAAAAAAAAAAAAAAAAAAUUACAAUAUUAAAAAACAUUAUAAUAUUAAAAAAUAUGAUCACACUUUUAAAACACUUAUGUCUAUAA